rnacentral:rRNA from 1 species
ACGGAAUAGAUACCCGGGUAGUCCACGCCCUAAACGAUGUCUACUAGUUGUUGGUGGAGUAAAAUCCAUGAGUAAACGCAGCUAAACGCGUGAAGUAGACCGCCUGGGGAGUACGGUCGCAAGAUUAAAACUCAAAUGAAUUGACGGGGGCCCGCACAAGCGGUGGAUUAUGUGGAUUAAAUUCGAUGCAACGCGAAAAACCUUACCUGGCCUUGACAUGUAACGAACUUUCCAGAGAUGGAUUGGUGCUCGAAAGAGAACGUUAACACAGGUGCUGCAUGGCUGUCGUCAGCUCGUGUCGUGAGAUGUUGGGUUAAGUCCCGCAACGAGCGCAACCCUUGCCAUUAAUUGCCAUCAUUUAGUUGGGCACUUUAAUGGGACUGCCGGUGACAAACCGGAGGAAGGUGGGGAUGACGUCAAGUCCUCAUGGCCCUUAUGGCCAGGGCUUCACACGUAAUACAAUGGUCGGUACAGAGGGUUGCCAACCCGCGAGGGGAGCCAAUCCCAGAAAGCCGAUCGUAGUCCGGAUUGUAGUCUGCAACUCGACUAC